rnacentral:tRNA from 1 species
GGAUUAUAGCUCAGUGGUAGAGUACUUGUCUUGCAUGUGAGAGGCAUUGGGUUCAAUUCUCAGCACCA